AUCGUUUAAAGUUAUUCUGUAUGUCGUGUGGUACUUAUAUCAAUAUCAUAAUAAUAAUAUUAUGUGUUUAUUUUUUUGUGAAGUAUAAGAUCUUUAAUCUUGAUAUAUUAUACAGCCGUAUGAUUCGUGGUUUAACUUGUAAUCGCGGUUAUAAUAAACUAUCCAUGGCUGCUCAAAUCGCUAAAAAAUAUUCGUUUUAUGAACGGUAUGAAUGACUUCUUGCUUGUUUCGUGGGUAGAUUCGUUCACAAGUGUCUAAUGCAGAUAUGUCAAAUUAAAAGUACCAAGUGGCCAAAUAUGUCGAAUAGUUUACUAUGGGG